CCCCCCUCAAAAGUCAAAUGGUCCGCCCCUAAAGCAAUUUGUUUGGAAAUUUCUAAACCAAAUUCUCGAAACUUUAUUGUUGCAUCCAUCUAUCGACCACCGAGCUCCACAUGCACCUGAGUUUCUCCUAACAUUUAAAAAAAUGAUUAAAAUGAUUUGAUGACGAAAAUAAAAAACUUCACAUAUUAGGAGACCGAAAUUGUAAUAUGUUGACAAAUAUUCCUAAUCACCCAACUAAAACACUUAAAGGUAUUCUUGAAACAUAUCAACUAUAUCUCAACUCAUCACUGAGGCUACACGAAUAACGACUAGUUCAUGCACUAGAUCAUUAUAUUACGACUAGAUCAUUAUAUUACAUCUAUGCCCGAAAAAAUCGUUCAGUCUGGAGUAAUACCCACAGAAAUUAGUGACCAUAUAGCCAAAUCUUUGGUAUUAGGAAAAUAAAUCCUGUUUUAAGUACCCGCAAAAAAAGCUAAAAAGGUCCAAGUUAGAAACAUGAAACGAUUUAAUGAAGAGCGC